AGUCUGCGGCCGCUGCUCCGGCACCACAGCCAGGGUGCAACCCUGCAGCGUGGGUGGGGUGAGGACCCCAGGCAGAGCCACGGUGGGCACCCAGCGGCCGAGCAGAGGUGUGGGAUGUGGGCAGCGUCUGCCCCACGUGCAGCCUGAGCCUCAUUUCCCAGGGACACUUUUCCUGCAGCAUCUCUUUACCGACCGCCCUGCACUUUCUGCUGGUUUGUUGGUGACUCCGCGCGUUGCUGCGCCGUGCGAACAGCCCUGAUGUGGCAGAGGACACCUCAACGUGCACAGCAGCAAAAGUGUGCACACUCAGGCACACUGCGUGAGGAAACGACACUGAGCCAACUACCGGAGCAGUAACACUUCGUAUGGGAAAGUGUAAACCGAGCCAGGGGUCUGCUGGGGGAACGCUGCUCUGCGACGCUAAGGAGGAAACACAAACCCGAAACCCAACACCACCAACCCAUGUAGGUAACCAACCAACUACCAACGCGCAGAGCCAGCAAACGUGAAUUUGGGGACCUGGAAAUACACUCUGGUGGUGUCAGAGGACCGGUGCCCUCACAGAGCUUUUCCACACGCGCGCUUUCCUUCUGUGUUCUCUGCAAUGUGCUCAGCUGCUGAACGCUGCACUCUAGAGUUGCUUUAAAAGCACAUGGUGGGACACAGAGGACCGUCCCGAGCCCCCGCUCAGCCCCAUGUGUAUGCACAGCCCUGCAGCUCUGGCUGCUCUUUGCAAGGCUGCCAUACACGCCGUCCUCAUAAAAACAAAAUCUUGAAAAUUCCUAAUGUGGAAGGUGAUUAAAAUUCCUAUAAAAUUGUCAUAUCUUUAAAUUUAGAAGCACGGCAGAUUUUUCAUCAAUAAUUAAGAUCUCUAAAGCAUUUAUGCUAGGCAUAAAUGGAGUUUCAAUCUUCCUUAUUCAAAUAAACAUGAUAAACCCAUUAACCA